UACGGGGGGGGCAAGCGUUGUUCGGAAUUACUGGGCGUAAAGGGCGUGUAGGUGGCCAACUAAGUCCGACGUGAAAUCCCCAGGCUUAACCUGGGAACUGCGUCUGAUACUGGAAGGCUCGAGUUUGGGAGAGGGAUGCAGAAUUCCAGGUGUAGCGGUGAAAUGCGUAGAUAUCUGGAGGAAUACCGGUGGCGAAGGCGGCAUCCUGGACCAACACUGACGCUGAGGCGCGAAAGCUAGGGGAGCAAACGGG
rnacentral:rRNA from 1 species